rnacentral:lncRNA from 1 species
GAAACAGGCCGGCGUCCUGCUAUGACUUGAGAGCAGGGAGGUUUAAACAGGCAAAAUUGACCAGAAAAGUACACGAAAUAAAAGCGAGAGGCUGCCCCAACAGAGAGAUUUUGUGGCCCAACCCCGUGUGGCACCCCCAGCGGAGUCAGGUGGCCCUCACACUGGCUUGAGGAGCAGAUAUGUAAGGCGGAAAUGAUGGCGUCCGUCAGGAACCAACGGAGGAAGAGAUUAGAGGCCAUAGUGCACUGUGCCUCUGUGCCCCCAGCUCUGGGCCCGUCAUGUUCUCCUCAGCUGAGGCCAACUUCAUUUGAAUUGUUUUCCCCAGGCCUCCCUCUCCUGCCGCCAUUCGCUGCCUCACCGUGGGUGGCCUGGCCAGCAGGUUCUGCCUCUAAGUGCCAAAAAGAGAAGUGAAA